rnacentral:rRNA from 1 species
GGGAGGAAAAGAAACUAACAAGGAUUUUCUUAGUAGCGGCGAGCGAAAAGAAAAGAGUUCAGCACUAAGUCACUUUGUCUUUAUGGCAAAUGUGAGAUGCAGUGUAUGGAAUGUCAAAUUUCUAGUAUGAGAAAUUAACGAUUUAAGUCCUUCUUAAAUGAGGCCAUUUACCCAAAGAGGGUGCCAGGCCCGUAUAACGUUAAUGAUUACUAGAUGGCAUUUCCAAAGAGUCGUGUUGCUUGAUAGUGCAGCACUAAGUGGGUGGUAAACUCCAUCUAAAACUAAAUAUAACCAUGAGACCGAUAGUAAACAAGUACCGUGAGGGAAAGUUGAAAAGAACUCUGAAUAGAGAGUUAAAUAGUACGUGAAACUGCUUAGAGGUUAAGCCCGAUGAACCUGAAUAUCCGUUAUGGAAAAUUCAUCAUUAUGAUUUUAAUAUUUAUAAUAUUAUAAUAAUGGUGUGCAUUUUUUCUAUAAAGGACAUUGUAAUCUAUUAACAUACAAAUAUUUAUCAUAAGAUCAAGGGCGUAAGUUUAUUCAAAUUAUUUUGCUUGCAAUUUAACAUAGAAUAAAUGUCUUUGAUUUGAUAAAGUGUUGAUAGAUUUAUUAUAUAUAGUGCUUAAAUAUUUAUAUUUUAUAAUAGCAUAUUAAUCAUUGAUUUUUAUGUUUAUUAUAUGCACUUAUAUGAUUAACAAUGCGAAAGAUUCAGGAUACCUUCGGGACCCGUCUUGAAACACGGACCAAGGAGUCUAACAUAUUUGCAAGUUAUUGGGAAUAAAAACCUAAUAGCGAAAUUAACAUAACUUAUUAAUGGGAUUAGUUUUUAGCCUAUUUAUAGUCUAUUAAUUCAAUCCCGGGGCGUUCUAUCAGUUAUGUAUAAUAAUAUUUAUAUUAUUUAUACCUCUAACUAGAGCGUACCUUGAGCAUAUAUGCUGUGACCCGAAAGAUGGUGAACUAUACUUGAUCAGGUUGAAGUCAGGGGAAACCCUGAUGGAAGACCGAAACAG